GAGGAACAGAACACAGAGCAGCCUGGCGGUGUCCUACCAACAAGCCUCCGUUUCUCCUUCCUGUACACUAGGGCUCCUGAAACUCACCUGGUUCAAGCGAUUCUCUUGCCUCAGCCUCCCGAGUAGCUGGAAUUAUAGGUGCAUGCCACCACGCUCGGCUAAUUUUUUGUAUUUUUAGUAAAGACGGAGUUUCACCAUGUUGGUCAGGAUGGUCUCCGUCUCUUGACCUCGAGAUCAGCCCGCCUCGGCCUCCCAAAGUGCUGGGAUUACAGGCGUGAGCCACUGUGCCCGGCCUUGGUUUCUAAAUACUAUUUUGAAGUAUCUGUGGAGAAAUGGUUACUUCGAGGGCUGGGGCAGGAAUAUAUAAGAUAACAUUGGAACAAAUUCUGACGCCAGAACAUGAAGAAAUAUUUGAAAAAGGAUGGGGCAUAUUGACUGAACACAGAAGACAAACAUGCAUGACCUCAGCCUAAUCGUGAGAAAACAUCAAAGAAAUCCAAAUUGAUAAACAUUCUGUAAAAUAAUUGGCCAUGCUCAGCAAAAGUGUCACAAUCACAAAAGACAAGGGAAGAAUAAGAAACGGUCACAGCCUGGAGGAAUCUAAGGACAUAACAACUGAGUGCAAUGUGAGAUCCUCGAUUCGAUCUUGGAGAAGAAAGAGGACGUUAAGAGAAAUAUUGACAAAAUUCAAAUAAGGUCUGCACAUUAGGUAAUGGUAAGAUACGUUGACAUCAAUUUCCUGGUUGGAUACUUGUAUUACAUAUACUAUUAUGUAUAUAAUUAUUAUAUUACAAUUACAUAUACAGUUGUAUAUUAUAUAUAAUACAAUAAAUGUAUAUAUAUGAUUAUAAUACAAUAAAUGUAUAUAUACAGUUUUAUAUAUAACAACUAUUAUACAUAUAAUACAAUUAUAUAUAUAGCUAACAUCAGGAUAGGCUGGUUGAGGAUUUAUAUGAAUCUUUGCUAAUUUUGCAUGUUUAAAAUUAUUUCAACAU
rnacentral:lncRNA from 1 species